CACUGUCACUCCUACGGGAGGCAGCAGUGGGGGAAUAUUGCACAAUGGGCGCAAGCCUGAUGCAGCCAUGCCGCGUGUGUGAAGAAGGCCUUCGGGUUGUAAAGCACUUUCAGUCGUGAGGAAGGUGGUAGUGUUAAUAGCACUAUCAUUUGACGUUAGCGACAGAAGAAGCACCGGCUAACUCCGUGCCAGCAGCCGCGGUAAUACGGAGGGUGCGAGCGUUAAUCGGAAUUACUGGGCGUAAAGCGCAUGCAGGUGGUUUGUUAAGUCAGAUGUGAAAGCCCCGGGGCUCAACCUCGGAAUAGCAUUUGAAACUGGCAAACUAGAGUACUGUAGAGGGGGUAGAAUUUCAGGUGUAGCGGUGAAAUGCGUAGAGAUCUGAAGGAAUACCGGUGGCGAAGGCGGCCCCCUGGACAGAUACUGACACUCAGAUGCGAAAGCGUGGGGAGCAAACAGGAUUAGAUACCCUGGUAG
rnacentral:rRNA from 1 species